rnacentral:rRNA from 1 species
GGCAUUGCCCCAGUAACGGCGAGUGAAGCGGCAACAGCUCAAAUUUGAAAUCUGGCCCCCCCCCGGGGGGCCCGAGUUGUAAUUUGCAGAGGAUGCUUUGGGCGAGGCGCCUUCCGAGUUCCCUGGAACGGGACGCCACAGAGGGUGAGAGCCCCGUCUGGUCGGACGCCGAGCCUCUGUAAAGCUCCUUCGACGAGUCGAGUAGUUUGGGAAUGCUGCUCAAAAUGGGAGGUAUAUGUCUUCUAAAGCUAAAUACCGGCCAGAGACCGAUAGCGCACAAGUAGAGUGAUCGAAAGAUGAAAAGCACCUUGAAAAGGGGGUUAAACAGUACGUGAAAUUGUUGAAAGGGAAGCGCUCGUGACCAGACUUGGGGCGGGCGGAUCAGCCGGCGUUCUCGCCGGCGCACUCCGCCCGUCCCAGGCCAGCAUCAGUUCGCGCCGGGGGACAAAGGCGGCGGGAACGUGGCUCCCCAGGGAGUGUUAUAGCCCGCCGCGCCAUGCCCCGGGGGCGGACUGAGGGCCGCGCAUCACUGCAAGGAUGCUGGCGUAAUGGUCACCAGCGACCCGUCUUGAAACACGGGCCAAGGAGUCGUCCUCGUAUGCGAGUGUUCGGGUGUCAAACCCCUACGCGGAAUGAAAGUGAACGUGGGUGAGAGCUUCGGCGCAUCAUCGACCGAUCCUGAUGUUCUCGGAUGGAUUUGAGUAGGAGCAUACGGGGCCGGACCCGAAAGAAGGUGAACUAUGCCUGUGUAGGGUGAAGCCAGAGGAAACUCUGGUGGAGGCUCGCAGCGGUUCUGACGUGCAAAUCGAUCGUCAAACAUGGGCAUGGGGGCGAAAGACUAAUCGAA